ACUACCCUGCGGUGUUCGAGAUUUGCCAUAUAUUCCUUGAACCAUUCUCACGCAUAGGUUGUGGAACACGUUCGAUGGGCGUGAUCGUCGCUAGUCCGACGAACCCGAAAUUGAUCUGACCGCGACCGCCUUGAACCUAUUUGGUUCAGGAUGCCGGCAAAAACGGCACAGGCGGGGCUAUA
rfam:Massilia sp. KIM NODE_2_length_1236307_cov_139.199_ID_966, whole genome shotgun sequence.